CUCACUUCUUAUGCAGGUCAUUCUUCUAAAUUCAAAUGUCCCUUUCAACUAUUUUGCAAAUAAAAUUAAUGUCAUACCAGUAAAUGUAGCAAUGACUGAGUCAUCUCUAAAGUGAAACAAGGCUCUCUACAACCGUGACCAAAUCGCAUUGCGGCGAUGUGGAAGAUCUGUGUAUUGGCCCGUGAUUGGAUUCCAAGAAACUUUUUGAUCAUCUAUCUCCAUCAGAAGCUCGCCAUUCCUCAUGAAGCCAUGAACUUCUGUUAAUAGUCCACAAACCUUAAGGCUACGUUUGGUAGUCGGGAUAAAAUUCGGGAUAGGAUAUGAUUUAUUCUAUCAUACGUUUGGUGCUCGCUCAGGACGAGAUAAAGUCGGAUAUAAGGGGGAUAUAGACUGGAUAAAAUUAUCCCAUAGAGGAAGUGGGAUAAAUGUGGAUAGGAUUUGUAAUAUUCAUAAUAGGAAAGUUAUUUUUCUUGAAUAACAAACUUAUUAAAUUAACAAAAUUGAAAUUAUAUUUCAAUAUAAAUAAUAUUUGAAUUAUAAUUUAAGAAAUAAAAAAUAAACAUUUAUUUUUAAUUAAUCUUAUUUUAAUUUAUACAUUCAACUUUAAUUCUAUCUUAUAUUAAAUAUUCAAUCUAUAAAUAAAUAUUUAUAUUUAUUAUAUAUUUUAGGUAUUUUUGUAUUUUUGGUAUGUUAGUACAAUUUACUAUUUGAUAAAAUUUUAUUAAAGAAUGAUGAAAUGGGAAAAAAGAAAUAAUAAUUAAAAUAAUAUAAAAAAGAGGAAAAAUAAAAUAAAAAUAAAUUAAGUAAUAGUGCUACGAGAGAUUUUCACUAUCUCUGUUUAUACAUUUAGUUCAUUUAUAAUGAUAUGUUGUUUAUAUAUAUAAAAAAAAAAUGUAUAUAAUAUGAUGUGAACUUAUUCGACUUUAAUAUUAUGAUUUACUAAACAAACAAAAGACGGGAUAUAAAAAAAUCCUAGAAUUUCAUAUCCUAUCCUAUCCAGUCUUAUCCUGAUUAGAAAUCGGGACGACCAAAUGUAAGAGAAUACAACUUAGUCCAAGACUCGUGCCUGUUGUGUUCCCUCAAAAU
rnacentral:lncRNA from 1 species